AGUGAACGCUGGCGGUAGGCCUAACACAUGCAAGUCGAACGGCAGCACAGUAAGAGCUUGCUCUUACGGGUGGCGAGUGGCGACGGGUGAGGAAUACAUCGGAAUCUACUUUUUCGUGGGGGAUAACGUAGGGAAACUUACGCUAAUACCGCAUACGACCUACGGGUGAAAGCAGGGGAUCUUCGGACCUUGCGCGAUUGAAUGAGCCGAUGUCGGAUUAGCUAGUUGGCGGGGUAAAGGCCCACCAAGGCGACGAUCCGUAGCUGGUCUGAGAGGAUGAUCAGCCACACUGGAACUGAGACACGGUCCAGACUCCUACGGGAGGCAGCAGUGGGGAAUAUUGGACAAUGGGCGCAGGCCUGAUCCAGCCAUACCGCGUGGGUGAAGAAGGCCUUCGGGUUGUAAAGCCCUUUUGUUGGGAAAGAAAAGCAGCAGGUUAAUACCCCGCUGUUCUGACGGUACCCAAAGAAUAAGCACCGGCUAACUUCGUG
rnacentral:rRNA from 1 species